rnacentral:rRNA from 1 species
UACGAAGGGGGCUAGCGUUGCUCGGAAUCACUGGGCGUAAAGGGUGCGUAGGCGGGUCUUUUAAGUCAGGGGUGAAAUCCCACGGCUCAACCGUGGAAUUGCCUUUGAAACUGUGAAGCUAGAGUGUCGGAGGGGAUAGCGGAAUUGCUAAUGUAGAGGUGAAAUUCGUAGAUAUCGGGAGGAACACCAGUGGCGAAGGCGGCGAUCGUGGGAAGAUACUGACGCUGAGGUGCGAAAGCGUGGGGAGCAAACAGG